rnacentral:rRNA from 1 species
GCUGGCGGUAUGCUUAACACAUGCAAGUCGAACGGAAACGAAACUAGCUUGCUAGUAGGCGUCGAGUGGCGGACGGGUGAGUAACGCGUAGGAAUCUGCCUGAUAGUGGGGGAUAGCCCGAAGAAAUUCGGAUUAAUACCGCAUAAUCUAUUCGUAGUAAAGUGGGGGACUUUCGAGCCUCACGCUAUCAGAUGAGCCUGCGUAAGAUUAGCUUGUUGGUAGGGUAAAAGCCUACCAAGGCAACGAUCUUUAGCUGGUCUGAGAGGAUGAUCAGCCACAUCGGGACUGAGACACGGCCCGAACUCCUACGGGAGGCAGCAGUGGGGAAUAUUGGACAAUGGGGGCAACCCUGAUCCAGCAAUACCGCGUGUGUGAAGAAGGCCUGAGGGUUGUAAAGCACUUUCAAUUGUGAAGAAAAGUCAACGGUUAAUAACCGUUGACCUUGACGUUAACUUUAGAAGAAGCACCGGCUAACUCCGUGCCAGCAGCCGCGGUAAUACGGAGGGUGCAAGCGUUAAUCGGAAUUACUGGGCGUAAAGCGUGCGUAGGCGGUUUAUUAAGUCAGAUGUGAAAGCCCCGGGCUUAACCUGGGAACUGCAUUUGAAACUGGUGAACUAGAGUAUGGUAGAGGAAAGUGGAAUUUCUGGUGUAGCGGUGAAAUGCGUAGAUAUCAGAAGGAACAUCAAUGGCGAAGGCAGCUUUCUGGACCAAUACUGACGCUGAGGUACGAAAGCGUGGGUAGCAAACAGGAUUAGAUACCCUGGUAGUCCACGCCGUAAACGAUGAUAACUAGCCGUUGGGGGGAUUUACCCCUUAGUGGCGAAGCUAACGCGUUAAGUUAUCCGCCUGGGGAGUACGGCCGCAAG